GCCUGCCCUAUGAAUAAUUUUGUUUUAAAUGGCUGCGGUAUUUUGACCGUGCAAAGGUAGCAUAAUAAUUAGUUUCUUAAUUGGGAACUGGAAUGAAUGGUCGAACGAGAAAAAGACUGUCUCAAUUUAAUUUUAAUUAGAACUUUAUUUUUAAGUAAAAAAGCUUAAAUAUUCUUAAAAGACGAGAAGACCCUAUAGAGUUUUAUAUUCAUUAUUAUUAUUGAAAGUUAAAGUAUUUUAGAUUUAAUAAUAAUAAUUAGUAUUUAGUUGGGGCGAUUGAAAAAUUUAAUAAACUUUUUUUAAAUUAUACCAUUAAUUUAUGAAUAGAUGAUCCAUAUUUUAUGAUUAAAAGAUU
rnacentral:rRNA from 1 species